UGGUUUUGAGAUUGGUACAUUUGAUCGAAGGGGGUGUAUGGAUAUGUCAAGCUCUGGUAUACAGGAUUCAUCAAAAUGUGGUGAGAAAAUCCUAGUGGUGGAAUGUUCUCGUAUUGGUGAUGAUUUUGGACUGGGAGUUGAGGAAAGAGCGGAGUUUGUUGGUUGUGGAGAGAGUGGAUAUUGGUAUUGUUCAUUAUUCGUCGAAAGUUUUGGCGUUGGGGAGAGUUUUGGUGGUAG
rnacentral:lncRNA from 1 species